AAAGGACUGUGGCCCUGGAAGGCCCU
rnacentral:piRNA from 1 species